rnacentral:lncRNA from 1 species
AGGGAUGAAUAGUUUCUGAUCUAUGAUCCAUGAAGCAUAUAAAAGAUUGAAUUUAAAUGUUAAUUAAUUUUAGAUUAAAUUUGAAUUAAUUAAGCUUCGUUAGAUCUAAAAUUUAAGUUAGACUUGGUACAAAAGUCCUAAAGAGUUUGAGAUUGACAGUCUUUCAAAAUUAUUUCGAUCCAGCUUCGAAUUGGAUUCG